rnacentral:rRNA from 1 species
GACGAACGCUGGCGGCGUGCUUAACACAUGCAAGUCGAACGGAAAGGCCCUGCUUUUGUGGGGUGCUCGAGUGGCGCACGGGUGAGUAACACGUGAGUAACCUGCCCUUGACUUUGGGAUAACUUCAGGAAACUGGGGCUAAUACCGGAUAGGAGCUCCUGCUGCAUGGUGGGGGUUGGAAAGUUUCGGCGGUCGGGGAUGGACUCGCGGCUUAUCAGCUUGUUGGUGGGGUAGUGGCUUACCAAGGCUUUGACGGGUAGCCGGCCUGAGAGGGUGACCGGCCACAUUGGGACUGAGAUAGGGCCCAGACUCCUACGGGAGGCAGCAGUGGGGAAUAUUGAACAAUGGGCGGAAGCCUGAUGCAGCAACGCCGCGUGCGGGAGGACGGCCUUCGGGUUGUAAACCGCUUCCGCCUGGGACGAAGCGUGAGUGACGGUAAUGGGUAAAGAAGCACCGGCUAACUACGUG